rnacentral:rRNA from 1 species
GUGAGGAAUAUUGGUCAAUGGGCGCAAGCCUGAACCAGCCAUGCCGCGUGCAGGAAGACGGUCCUAUGGAUUGUAAACUGCUUUUAUUUGGGAAUAAACUCCGGUACGUGUACCGGCCUGAAGGUACCAAAUGAAUAAGCACCGGCUAACUCCGUGCCAGCAGCCGCGGUAAUACGGAGGGUGCAAGCGUUAUCCGGAAUCAUUGGGUUUAAAGGGUCCGCAGGCGGUCUUAUAAGUCAGUGGUGAAAGCAUACAGCUCAACUGUAGAACUGCCAUUGAUACUGUAGGACUUGAAUUCGAUCGAAGUGGGUGGAAUGUGACAUGUAGCGGUGAAAUGCUUAGAUAUGUCACAGAACACCGAUAGCGAAGGCAGCUCACUAGGUCUGGAUUGACGCUCAGGGACGAAAGCGUGGGGAGCAAACAGGAUUAGAAACCCCAGUAGUCC